CCUGGUCUUGACAUCCACGGAAGUUUUCAGAGAUGAGAAUGUGCCUUCGGGAACCGUGAGACAGGUGCUGCAUGGCUGUCGUCAGCUCGUGUUGUGAAAUGUUGGGUUAAGUCCCGCAACGAGCGCAACCCUUAUCCUUUGUUGCCAGCGGUCCGGCCGGGAACUCAAAGGAGACUGCCAGUGAUAAACUGGAGGAAGGUGGGGAUGACGUCAAGUCAUCAUGGCCCUUACGACCAGGGCUACACACGUGCUACAAU
rnacentral:rRNA from 1 species